UACGUAGGGUGCGAGCGUUGUCCGGAAUUAUUGGGCGUAAAGAGCUCGUAGGCGGUUUGUCGCGUCGGGAGUGAAAACCUUGGGCUUAACUCAGGGCUUGCUUUCGAUACGGGCAGACUAGAGGUAUGCAGGGGAGAACGGAAUUCCUGGUGUAGCGGUGAAAUGCGCAGAUAUCAGGAGGAACACCGGCGGCGAAGGCGGUUCUCUGGGACGGUACUGACGCUGAGACGCGAAAGCGUGGGGAGCGAACAGG
rnacentral:rRNA from 1 species